GCUAUAACUAAUAUUAGAUAGAGCUUACUUUCGCAAAGUGCGAGAGCUGAGGAAUGGUCAUCCUUAGCUAUAUUAUAAAAGGUGAAUGACCUCACCUUAGCCUC
ncrna:unclassified sequences engA RNA